rfam:Acanthisitta chloris contig58659, whole genome shotgun sequence.
CCAAAGGCUCUUUUAAGGGCCACCCACGUUUUCCUUUAAAAGAGCU